rnacentral:lncRNA from 10 species
UAUAUUCUGAAAGAUGUGCUAUAUUCUAGUAGGGAGACAGCCAAGAAACAGUGCACAUGUCAACAAAUGACAUAUCUAAUUUAUGUUAAUGGCAAGUGUUCUGAAGCACAGUGGGGCAGGGAAGGAACUAGAGAGCGGCAGGGUGCUGUUUUGGGUAUGGUACGCAGGGAGCACGGAAGUAAGGGAGCUGGUCAUACAAAGAAGAAUGGGAGGGACACAGAUGUUCAAGGUUGGGGGAAAUACGUGCGAAACCUCUGUGGGAAUAAAGCUGGAGUGCAGAGAAAAAAGCAAGACAUUCAGAGUGGCUGGGGCAGAGAGAAAGGGGCCAGUGGUGAGAAGUGAGGUCUGGGAGGAGGCUUGUGGACUUUGCCUGACAGCUCCCCACCACUCUCUCCAGCUCUGACCUCAAGGGCAGCCUGUAUUUUUCCAAUUUUUCUGCUUGGGACUCUGUAUUGUAAGUGAAUGCUGAAGUAUCCAUGUUCCCAACAACACUAUAGUCUUUUUAUUCUUAUUGACAAUUUAACUUCUGCAAUAAGGUAGGUUCUCAAUAUAUAUCUGUGGGUGAUUGAAUGACUACCAGGAACAAGAAUAGAGGUGAAAGAAGAUGUCAUUCGCCCCCUGCAAAGUAGCCCAUGACAAGUGGUAGGUAAGGGUGGACUGCCUGGGAGUGAGGCCAGAGGAUUCUGCGUGGCGGGCAGGGUUGGGGAUGGAGGGAAGCAGAGAUCCCCUGGACAGGAGAUCAGCUGAAGGAAGUGGUCUCCUAUCUUAGUGCGUCUUGGCAGGCUGAGAGGAGGAGGCUGGGGUGAGGAAUUUCUGGCAAAGGGGAUUCCUACAGGUGGGAAGGUUGGGGCUUAUCUGGAAAACAAUGAGUAGACCACAGAGUUAUUUCUUGUGACAACACGGAAAGAGCACAGAGCAGGGAAAGAGUCCAGGUAUCCCCCACGCCUCUAAGCCUGGAAUCUGGCGGUGUGAGGGAGGGGUGGACUUGGGUGUCUUUGUGAGUUUCCAUCACUCUGAAGUUCCAGGAGCCAAAGAGCCCUGAGCCCAUGACCGGCUGGACGGUGAAGGGAGGUUUCAGGAUGCUGGUGCUGCAGUUAGCUCAGAUGAGCUUGUGCUUGGCUCCCUGGGUGCAGACCACCAGUGCAGAGUUCGAUGGACACACAGUGGGUCUGCAAGGCUGCCUGAGGCAAAUCCAUCACUGCUGCCUGGCUCCGAGAUGGAAGCCUAGUGAGUCCAGAGAUCAUCCAUCUCAUGCAUCUUCCCACCCAAGGCAGAAUUCCUUCCGUGUUAGUUUCCUAGGGCUGGCAUAAACAACCCCCACAAACCGGAUGGCUUAAACAACAGAAAUGUAUUCUCACAGUUCUGCAGGCUAGAAGUCUGAAAUCAAGGUGUUGGCAGACUCCCUCUGAAACCUCUGGGACAAUCCUUCCUUGUCUCUUCCUAGACUCUGGUGGUAUUCUGGCAAUCUUGGAAGUCCCUGGCUUGUAGAUGCAUCAUGCCAGCCUCUGCCUGUCUAGACGUGGACUUCUCCCUGUAGGCCUCUGUCUGCACAUGACAGUCUUUUUGUAAGGACACCUGUCAUAUUGGAUUAGGAGCCUAUCCUACUCCAGUAUGACCUCAUCUCAACUAACACCUGCAACAGCCAGAUUUCCAGUACAGUCACAUUCUGAAGCACUGGGAGUCAGGACUUGGACAUAUCCUUUUCGGGGGAGGGGGGUGCAAUUCAGCCCAUACACCAUCUGUGCCAUCCCCAGCAAGGGGUCCUUCAGCCUCUGGCAGGUGCCCCCACUGAGGGGACAAGGCCUGCAAUGCAACCAGCUCUUUGCCAGAUUGUACCCUCUUCCCCCCUCCUCCCUCUCUUCCUUCCUCUCUCCCACAAAUAUUUAUCAAGAGAUUAAUAUAUUCCAGGAAUGGUGCCAAGUCCUGGGUGCCCAACAGUAAACAAAACAGAGACUAGGGGAAAGGCUUUCGUUACAUCAUCCUCUCCCACAGGUCCCCUGAGGCCACGCAGCGCAUGCGGCUGCACCCUGAAUGACUAAAGACAGUGAUGGACUCCCCAAGGCUCCCGUGGGUCAAAUCCCUGUGGCUUCUUUACAUAUUUCUCAAAUGGAGGGUGAUUAUAUAUGUGAUGGACUAAACCAGGACACUUUUGAGAAUGAACUUGGGUGCUAUUGGUAAUCACACCGAGACACAGCAACGUCCGGGACCAACUCAACCCUCAGUCCGCUCAUGGGGCACAGGUUUCCUGGUCCUUCCCUACCCUGACUUCUCUUCUUCUGAUGUUUGGUGGUCUGCAUCCUUUUAAACCACUGUGCUCCCAGAACUGAUUCCCAUAUGUGUCUGCCAUACUGGAAAAUACCAAAUAGGCAAGGAGAUCGUUUCAAUACUGUCUGCUGAACACCUUAAUAGAGGCAAGAGAGAACGCAGAGGAAGAAACAAUGGACUCUUUCUGAGAGAGUGGAAGAUGGCUUCGCAGAGGAGCUGCUGUCUGAGACGGAUAGCAUGAGUAGGAGUUUCCCCAGGCAGGGAAGGUGUUGUUGUUUCUCCUCAGGGUAGAGGGGAGAGCAGGGUUCCCCGUGUGUCUGUUGCUGAAUGUGACUCAUGCUGUUUUCCUGCUUUGAGCCUGCUCUAGGGUGUUAUGGGCAGGAUGGACUUGUCCUGCGUGCUUGUUGUUCCGCCGUGUUUCUGAUCUUCAGAUUUAUCGUAAGGAAGAACAGCCGAUGUACAGGCAGAACUUGACAAAUGAGGCAACAAGCAACUUGAUCUGGGAUCCAUCGUCCUCUAGACCCCAGUAGGAGUCUAAGCACCAGCGUGGUGGCCACCCCAGCAGCCUUGGACCCCUGAAGGCUUGAGCACCAAAGCACACACAGCUGCCUCUGGCUGAGUUCUGUGGUCGCCUGCACCCCCUCCACCUGCUUCCCCCGGAGGAUGGAUCAUGAAGAGUGGAAUUGCUUUUCCUCUUGGGGCAGGCACACCAACAGUGUAUGUGAGGCCCCUGCUCCCACUCCCCAGGCUGGCCAGUACUUUGGGCCAAUCUGCUAGACCCAAAAAUGUUAAUCUCACUGAGAUUUAAUUUGCAUUCCCCUGACUACCGGUGAAGUUGAGCAUCUUUUCAUAUGUUUAUUGACAAUUUGCAUUUCUUAUUCAGUAAAUUACCUGCUCGUAUCCUAGAGUCAUAUUUCUGUCUGCCCGUUUUUUUCUAUUCAAUUUGUGGGAGCUCUUUGUAUACCUGGGAUCUAAUCUUUGACUCAUAUAUAUGGCAAGUAUUUUCUAUUACUGUUGUCAACUUUUUAUCAUAGUAAAAUUCUUACAUCCAGCACCCCCACCCCUCCCCUGCCCUUUUUUUUUUUUUUUUUGCAUUUGGGUUAGGCAGAGAGCUAGCUUUACUGUUUUCCAAAUGAAGUCAAUCGAUCCCAAGGAUUUUUAAAUUAUUUAAUCAGUAAAAAUGUACACAUUUUGAG